CAGAGAAUAGUUUAAUGUAGAAUCUUAGCUUUGGGAGUUAAGGGUGAGAGUUGAAUUCUCUUUUCUCUGA
rnacentral:tRNA from 13 species